GCCCCUGUGGCGGAAUUGGUAGACGCGACAGAUUCAAAAUCUGUUGUCCUCACGGGCGUGCCUGUUCGAGUCAGGCCAGGGGCACCA
rnacentral:tRNA from 2 species